rnacentral:rRNA from 1 species
UACGAAGGGGGCUAGCGUUGCUCGGAAUCACUGGGCGUAAAGGGUGCGUAGGCGGGUUUUUAAGUCAGGGGUGAAAUCCUGGAGCUCAACUCCAGAACUGCCUUUGAUACUGAAGAUCUUGAGUCCGGGAGAGGUGAGUGGAACUGCGAGUGUAGAGGUGAAAUUCGUAGAUAUUCGCAAGAACACCAGUGGCGAAGGCGGCUCACUGGCCCGGUACUGACGCUGAGGAGCGAAAGCGUGGGUAGCAAACGGG